rnacentral:tRNA from 1 species
GCCUCUGUAGCUCAAUGGUGGAGCAAUUGCUUCGUAAGCAAUAGGUUGUGGGUUCAAAUCCCUCCAGAGGCU